rnacentral:rRNA from 1 species
UACGUAGGGGGCUAGCGUUGUCCGGAUUUAUUGGGCGUAAAGAGCGUGUAGGCGGCCAGGUAGGUCUGGUGUGAAAACUCGAGGCUUAACCUCGAGAUGUCAUCGGAAACCAUCUGGCUAGAGUCCGGAAGAGGAGAGUGGAAUUCCUGGUGUAGCGGUGAAAUGCGCAGAUAUCAGGAAGAACACCGAUGGCGAAGGCAGCCAUCUGGACCGACACUGACGCUGAGGCGCGAAAGCGUGGGGAGCAAACAGG